rnacentral:rRNA from 1 species
UCUGGGCACUGUCUCAACGAGAGACUCGGUGAAAUUAUAGUACCUGUGAAGAUGCAGGUUACCCGCGACAGGCCGGAACGCCCCCGUGGAGCUUUACUGCAACCUGAUAUGGAAUGUUUGUACCGCUUGUACAGGAUAGGUAGGAGCCGAAGAGACGUGUGCGCUAGCAUACGAGGAGGCAAUGGUGGGAUACUACCCUGGC